CCGAGUGAAGGGGCGCAAGCCCCGACCUCCCACCCUUUGUUAAUCAAACCUCGUUGCUUCGGGGGUGACCUAUUCGCUUAGGGCCCCCGGAGGACCAUCAACUCUGCAUCAAUGCGUCGGAGUCAAAAUCGAAUAAAAUCA
rnacentral:misc_RNA from 1 species